AACGAACGCUGGCGGCAGGUCUUAGGCAUGCAAGUCGAACGGGUGUAGUAAUACACCAGUGGCGAACGAGUGAGUAACGCGUGGGAAUCUGCCCAUCCCUGGGGAAUAACGUUGGGAAACGAACGCUAAUACCGCAUACGCCCGCCAGGGGAAAGAUUUAUCGGAGAUGGAGGAGCCCGCGUUAGAUUAGGUAGUUGGUGGGGUAACGGCCUACCAAGGCGAUGAUCCAUAGCUGGUCUGAGAGGACGAUCAGCCACGCUGGAACUGAGAUACGGUACAGACUAAUACGGGAGGCAGCAGCUAAGAAUAUUGGGCAAUGGAGGAGACUCUGACCAAGCCCUGCCGCGUGAAUAAAGAAGGCCUUCGGGUUGUAGAGUUCUUUUAGUCGAGACGAUGAUGUCGGUAGCGACAGAAAAAGCACCGGCUAACUUCGUGCCAGCAGCCGCCGCCG
rnacentral:rRNA from 1 species